UACGUAGGGUGCGAGCGUUAAUCGGAAUUACUGGGCGUAAAGCGUGCGCAGGCGGUUCGUUAUGUCCGAUGUGAAAGCCCCGAGCUUAACUUGGGAAUGGCAUUGGAAACUGGCGGGCUGGAGUGCGGCAGAGGGGGGUGGAAUUCCACGGUGUAGCAGUGAAGUGCGUAGAGAUGUGGAGGAACACCGAUGGCGAAGGCAGCCCCCUGGGCCGACACGUGACGCUCGAGGCACGAAGCGUGGG
rnacentral:rRNA from 1 species